ACGCUCGACACCUACGGUAGGCAGCAGUGGGGAAUAUUGCACAAUGGGGGAAACCCUGAUGCAGCGACGCCGCGUGAGCGAAGAAGUAUUUCGGUAUGUAAAGCUCUAUCAGCAGGGAAGAAACUGACGGUACCUGACUAAGAAGCACCGGCUAAAUACGUGCCAGCAGCCGGGUAAUCUGAGCGGGCUGGCAAGGC
rnacentral:rRNA from 1 species